CUCAUUGAUCCCUCAUUUUAGUAUGCCCUGCCCCCAACAUCCUGUUUAAUCAGGAAAUAUAAUCACAUUCAGGAAAGCCGAGCGGUGACGGACGUGAUUAAGUUCAUGAGAGCUCAACAAGCUUCUCCACUGUGGCUUGGGGAGGGUGAGACAGUUCACCUGGACUCUAUGGGGAGAAAGAUGAACUCUUCUGGUCUACCAUCUGCUCACCAGUCCACCUUUGGAACGCUCCCCUGGUCCCGUCAAGCUCUUGGCCUCAUCCUCCCCGACUGAAGAUCAGCCAGAUAACAUUACCUCCUGACCAAUCAGGCGCCUGGAUCCAUACCUCAUCCCACAGGUAGGCUUUCCAACAGACAGGCCAGUAGAAAGAGCGUUGCUUUCAUUGAGAGCCAACCAAUGGGAGCACAGAGAUGUGAUCCACCGCUAAAACGGGGCCAACCUGUGUUUUGUGGUGUUGUUGAGGUAAUGUGGAGUGGGG
rnacentral:lncRNA from 1 species